rnacentral:rRNA from 1 species
AGCAGCCGCGGUAAUUCCAGCUCCAAUAGCGUAUAUUAAAGUUGUUGCAGUUAAAAGGCUCGUAGUUGAAUUUCGAGACCGGUUUAUUGGUCGUGCUUUUGUACGUACUGGUAUUAUUGGUUUCUCCUUUCUGACGAAUCAUAAUGCCAUUAAUUUGGUGUUUUGGGGAAUCAGGACUGUUACUUUGAAAAAAUUAGAGUGUUUAAAGCAGGCUCACGCUUGAAUACAUUAGCAUGGAAUAACGAAAUAGGACGUUUGAUUUUAUUUUGUUGGUUUCUAGGAUCGACGUAAUGAUUAAUAGGGAUAGUUGGGGGCAUUAGUAUUCAAUUGUCAGAGGUGAAAUUCUUGGAUUUAUUGAAGACUAACUACAGCGAAAGCAUUUGCCAAGGAUGUUUUCAUUAAUCAAGAACGAAAGUUAGGGGAUCGAAGACGAUCAGAUACCGUCGUAGUCUUAACCAUAAACUAUGCCGACUAGGGAUCGGAUGAUGUUAAUUUUUAAU